CCUACGGGAGGCAGCAGUGGGGAAUUUUGCGCAAUGGGGGAAACCCUGACGCAGCAACGCCGCGUGAGUGAUGAAGGCUUUCGGGUCGUAAAGCUCUGUCAGAGGGGAAGAAAUGAGACUGGCUAAUAUCCAGUUUUCUUGACGGUACCUUCAAAGGAAGCACCGGCU
rnacentral:rRNA from 1 species